GAUGAACGCUAGCGGCAGGCCUAACACAUGCAAGUCGAGGGGUAGAACACUUCGGUGUUUGAGACCGGCGCACGGGUGCGUAACGCGUAUGCAAUCUACCUUGUACAGGGGAAUAGCCCAGAGAAAUUUGGAUUAAUGCCCCAUAGUAUAUAGCCUUCGCAUGUUGGUUAUAUUAAAGUUCCAACGGUACAAGAUGAGCAUGCGUCCCAUUAGUUAGUUGGUAAGGUAACGGCUUACCAAGACGAUGAUGGGUAGGGGUCCUGAGAGGGAGAUCCCCCACACUGGUACUGAGACACGGACCAGACUCCUACGGGAGGCAGCAGUGAGGAAUAUUGGUCAAUGGUCGCAAGACUGAACCAGCCAUGCCGCGUGCAGGAAGACGGUCCUAUGGAUUGUAAACUGCUUUUAACAGGAAGAAACCCUCCCACGUGUGGGAGCUUGACGGUACUGUAGGAAUAAGGCCGUCGACUAACGUCGUCGACACGAGACGGCCGGUAACGUAAACUAACUCGUAC
rnacentral:rRNA from 1 species